UACGUAGGGGGCAAGCGUUGUCCGGAUUUAUUGGGCGUAAAGAGCGUGUAGGCGGCCAGGUAGGUCAGCUGUGAAAACUCGAGGCUCAACCUCGAGACGCCGGUUGAAACCAUCUGGCUAGAGUCCGGAAGAGGAGGGUGGAAUUCCUGGUGUAGCGGUGAAAUGCGCAGAUAUCAGGAAGAACACCCGUGGCUUAAGGCGGCUCUCUAGUACGGUACUGACGCUGAGACGCGAAAGCGUGGGGAGCGAACAGG
rnacentral:rRNA from 1 species